rnacentral:rRNA from 1 species
AAAUUGAAGAGUUUGAUCAUGGCUCAGAUUGAACGCUGGCGGCAGGCCUAACACAUGCAAGUCGAACGGUAACAGGAAGCAGCUUGCUGCUUUGCUGACGAGUGGCGGACGGGUGAGUAAUGUCUGGGAAACUGCCUGAUGGAGGGGGAUAACUACUGGAAACGGUGGCUAAUACCGCAUAACGUCGCAAGACCAAAGAGGGGGGACCUUCGGGCCUCUUGCCAUCAGAUGUGCCCAGAUGGGAUUAGCUUGUUGGUGAGGUAACGGCUCACCAAGGCGACGAUCCCUA